rnacentral:rRNA from 1 species
GAUGAACGCUGGCGGCGUGCCUAAUACAUGCAAGUCGAGCGAACGGACGAGAAGCUUGCUUCUCUGAUGUUAGCGGCGGACGGGUGAGUAACACGUGGAUAACCUACCUAUAAGACUGGGAUAACUUCGGGAAACCGGAGCUAAUACCGGAUAAUAUUUUGAACCGCAUGGUUCAAAAGUGAAAGACGGUCUUGCUGUCACUUAUAGAUGGAUCCGCGCUGCAUUAGCUAGUUGGUAAGGUAACGGCUUACCAAGGCAACGAUGCAUAGCCGACCUGAGAGGGGGAUCGGCCACACGGGAACUGGGAAACGGUCCAGACUCCUACGGGAGGCAGAAGUAGGGAAUCUUCCGAAAUGGGCGAAAGCCUGACGGAGCAACGCCGCGUGAGUGAUGAAGGUCUUCGGAUCGUAAAACUCUGUUAUUAGGGAAGAACAUAUGUGUAAGUAACUGUGCACAUCUGGACGGUACCUAAGCAGAAAGCCACGGCUACCUACGU